GGGGAAAAAUUAAUAAAAUAAAAAUAAUAAAAGAAAUUUUAAUUUAAUAAAUUUUAUAAUAUACGUAUAAUGGGGGUUAAAGUAUAUUUAUAGAAAAAAUAAAAAAAUUUAUAAAGAAAUAGUAUUGUAUGAGAAUUUUGAAAUAAUUGAUGAAAUAAUAAAUUAUAAAAAAGUAAUUUUAAUUUAGUGUAUCUUGUGUAUCAGAGUUUAUUAAAUAAAUUUUUUUAUAAAAAUUCUCGAAUUUAAGAGAGAUAAUUAAUUAAAAAAGUUAUUGUAGAAUAAAUAUUUUUAAUAAUUAAUUUGAAAUGAUAUGUUAAUCGUUCUUAAAUAUAUCUAGUUUUUUUAGAAAAAAAUUUAAUUUUAAAUUUAUAUUUAAUAUAAUAUAUAUAUAUAUAUAUAUAUAUAUAUUAUAUAAAUUAUAUUAUAAAAUUAAUUAAUUUAAUUAAAAUGUAAUAUAAAUUUUAUAAUUUAAGGGAUAAGCUUUAAAAUUAAAAUUAUAUAAUUUAGUUUAUUUAUUGAAAAUUUUAUAAUUUAUAUUGUUAAUAAAUUUUAAUUUAUUAUAAAUAAUUUCAAAUUAAAUAAAAUUUAAUUAAAUUUAUAAAUAUUUAUAAAAAAAUAAUUUUUGAAAAAUUAAAAUUAGUUAUAAUGAUAAAAUUAGUAUAAAAAUAAAAAAUUAUUAUGAUAAUUAAGUUAAAUUAUUUUUUAGGAAUUCGGCAAAUAUUUAUAUUCACUUGUUUAUCAAAAACAUGUCUUUUUGUAAAUAAUUUAAAGUCUAAUCUGCCCACUGAUUUAAAAUUGAAGGGCUGCAGUAUAUUGACUGUACAAAGGUAGCAUAAUCAUUAGUCAUUUAAUUGAUGACUGGAAUGAAGGAUUGGAUGAAAUAUAAACUGUCUUGAAAAUAAAUUAUAGAAUUUAAUUUUUAAAUUAAAAAGUUUAAAUGAUUUAAAAAGACGAGAAGACCCUAUAGAGUUUAAUAAAUUGAUUAAUUUAUAUUAUUUUUAAUUAUAAAAUUAUUAAUUUAUUAAUUUAUUUUGUUGGGGUGAUAAAAAAAUUUAAUUAACUUUUUUUUAUAAAAAUUAUUACAUAAAUAAGUGGAAAAAUGAUCCAAUUAUAUUGAUUAAAAGAAAAAAUUACCUUAGGGAUAACAGCGUUAUUUAUUUUUUUAGUUCAUAUAAAAAUAUAAGUUUGCGACCUCGAUGUUGGAUUAAGAUAAAAGUUAAGUGCAAAAAUUUAAAUUUUUUGAUCUGUUCGAUCAUUAAAAUCUUACAUGAUCUGAGUUCAGACCGGUGUGAGCCAGGUUGGUUUCUAUCUUUUAGAAAAUAAAAUAUUUUAGUACGAAAGGAUUAAAUAUUAAAAUUAAAUUUAAAUUUAUUGAAUUUUAUUAAUAAUAUAUAUAUAUAUAUAUAUAUAUACUAUUUUGACAGAGGAAUUGUAAU
rnacentral:rRNA from 1 species